GUGGGGAAUAUUGGGCAAUGGGCGAAAGCCUGACCCAGCAACGCCGCGUGAGGGAAGAAGGCCUUCGGGUUGUAAACCUCUGUCCUUGGUGACGAAGAAAGUGACGGUAGCCAAGGAGGAAGCCCCGGCUAACUACGUGCCAGCAGCCGCGGUAAUACGUAGGGGGCGAGCGUUGUCCGGAAUUACUGGGCGUAAAGGGUGCGUAGGUGGCCUUUUAAGUUGGAUGUGAAAUACCCGGGCUUAACUUGGGGGGUGCAUCUAAUACUGGGAGGCUAGAGUGCAGGAGAGGGAAGCGGAAUUCCUAGUGUAGCGGUGAAAUGCGUAGAUAUUAGGAGGAACACCAGUGGCGAAGGCGGCUUUCUGGACUGUAACUGACACUGAGGCACGAAAGCGUGGGGAGCAAACAGGAUUAGAAACCCUUGUAGUCC
rnacentral:rRNA from 1 species